rnacentral:rRNA from 1 species
AUUGAACGCUGGCGGCAUGCUUUACACAUGCAAGUCGAACGGUAACAGGCCGCAAGGUGCUGACGAGUGGCGAACGGGUGAGUAAUGCAUCGGAACGUGCCCAGUCGUGGGGGAUAACGCAGCGAAAGCUGUGCUAAUACCGCAUACGAUCUAUGGAUGAAAGCGGGGGACCGUAAGGCCUCGCGCGAUUGGAGCGGCCGAUGUCAGAUUAGGUAGUUGGUGGGGUAAAGGCCUACCAAGCCGACGAUCUGUAGCUGGUCUGAGAGAACGACCAGCCAAACGGGGACUGAGACACGGCCCAGACUCCUACGGGAGGCAGCAGUGGGGAAUUUUGGACAAUGGGCGCAAGCCUGAUCCAGCAAUGCCGCGUGCAGGAAGAAGGCCUUCGGGUUGUAAACUGCUUUUGUACGGAACGAAACGGUCUGGGUUAAUACCCUGGGCUAAUGACGGUACCGUAAGAAUAAGCACCGGCUAACUACGUGCCAGCAGCCGCCGUAAAAC